rnacentral:lncRNA from 1 species
GCUACUCCAAAAGUAAUGCCUCUUAUUUUAUUCUAUUUGAUCAUGAUGUCAGAGACGGAUGUUGGCAGUAUCACAGUAAAGAUUGAACCUUCCCACCAAUAUUCCAUUACAAUUUGUUGAUGUGUGAAAAACACCAGCAGAGGGGCAGUGAUAAAGUGGUGCCUGACAUGGAAGCACAUAUGAAGCAAUGCAGCCAUUCUCCACAAAUAGGUGUGUGCUUGAAAAAGGAAUUACUGACUUCAUCACCUUCAUUGAAAACAUUGUCAUGCAACACUGGCACCAUCGCUGACUAUGGAUUUUUGCUAGUGAUGAAGAAGAGCCUGCAUGUUGCACUUCUAAACAUCUGCAAGACUGUCUGGAAUAUGACUUGUCUUUCACGUUGUUGUUGCCACUGCUGAAAUGCACCACCCACCACUUCACUGUGCUCGCAUCCAUUGGUUGGCCUUCAUCAGUGUUCAAUAAGCAUUGAUGAAUGUCAAGCGGUGUUUUUUUUGUUGUUUUUUUUUUCUUUCCCCUCAGGGAGGAAUUCAGUGACACACCUUUGUUUCAUAUGUG